rnacentral:rRNA from 1 species
AUUGAACGCUGGCGGCAGGCCUAACACAUGCAAGUCGAGCGAGCGGCGGACGGGUGAGUAAUGUAUGGGGACUGCCCGUUAGAGGGGGAUAACUACUGGAAACGGUGGCUAAUACCGCAUACUAUCGGAUAACCCAUAUGGGAUUAGCUAGUAGGGGGGGUAAAGGCUCACCUAGGCGACGAUCUCUAGCUGGUCUGAGAGGAUGAUAAGCCACACGGGUACUGAGACACGGCCCAGACUCCUACGGAGGCAGCAGUGGGGAAUAUUGGACAAUGGGCGAAGGCCUGAUGCAGCCAUGCCGCGUGUGUGAAGAAGGCCUUAGGGUUGUAAAGUACUUUAAGCGGGGAGGCGUUACCGGAAGAAGAAGCACCGGCUAACUCCGUGCCAGCAGCCGCGGUAAUUC